UGGCUUUAUGUAUCAUCCAGUUGGAAAGAAUACGAGGUUGUCGCUCUUCUGUAUUCCUCUUCCUCUUCUGGGUCUUGGCUGUUGUUUGCUCCCUCGUGCCACUCAGAGCAAAGAUCCAGCUGGCCAUAGAUGAGGGCAUUGACUCUGAUACUGUGAGAUACGUAGCGUUUUUCUCCUACGUCACCAUUCAAGUGGUCCAACUCUUCUUGUGCUGCUUUGCCGACCUGCCUCCAGAGGGGAAAAAUGCCUUCGAAAAGAAUCCUUGCCCUGUGAAAGACGCUUCUUUUUUGUCCAAGAUUCUCUUCUGGUGGUUUACUGGGUAAGGUCCUCAAAGUCUC